rnacentral:rRNA from 1 species
GAACGAACGCUGGCGGCGUGGAUAAGACAUGCAAGUCGAACGCUGACAUUCAGGUAGCAAUAUUUGGAUGUUGGAGUGGCGCAAGGGUGUGUAACACGUGGGUAAUCUGGCCAUAAAGCCUGGGAUAACUCGCUGAAAGGCGAGCUAAUACCGGAUGUGAACGCAAGUUCAAAGCUGGGGAUCGUAAGACCUGGCACUUUAUGAUGAGCCCGCGGCCUAUCAGCUAGUUGGUGAGGUAACGGCUCCACCAAGGCUAAGACGGGUAGCUGGUCUGAGAGGACGACCAGCCACACUGGAACUGAGACACGGUCCAGA